GGCCACAUCUCAUUGAAACACCAGUUCCUGUACAAUCACUGAAGUUAAGCAAUGUUGAGCCUGGCCAGUAUGUACAUGGGUAGCUACUUGGGAAUACCAGGUGCUGUAAG